UUCCAGGUCAAACGAUGGAUAAGGAAUCAACGUGCAAGACGUGUCAAAAAUGAAACUCAGAAUGUGCAUCAUACUCAACUCCUUUCCUUCGUUCCUCUCUCCGUCGUGCCGGAGGUAAUCCUCAACGGCGGGGACCUUCGAAAACUGAGUCGAUCACCAAUGCCUCGCUCCGAAUUAAGUUCUCGUCGCGAAUCCGAUAACGAAAUCUCCUAAUGGUACGAGAAGCAAGCGAAUCGAAGAAGAAACGGAUGAACCCUAACUAACGAAUUACGAAAUUAAAUUCCACACAUUUGGAAUCAAGGCCCUAGGGGUUGGGGCUUUGAUUCCCCCAGCUAAACCCUACAUUUCGGUAGCGUUAUUGGAGCAAACGGCGAUAGAAAUGGAAUACUCACCAAAGACGAUGACGCGGCGGUGACCGGAGUUCAGGGUUGUGGUUGUUGUUGAAGCUGGCAUGGAUGGUUUUCGUUGUCGUCAGUUCUUUGUGACUUACUUUACUGCUCUCUUGGUGAAUUGAUGGGUUGAGAUUCAACAUGCUUUCCUGUCACAUGUGCAUUGGUAGGUUGAAAUUCAUCACUUUCCUUGUUCUCAAUCCCAUCAUUCGUAGGUGAAGAAAUACAAGAAUCAUCGGGAUUUUGUUGAUCUCUACCAGAAUCACACUUCGGCAAUAUGAAGGAGGCGUUGAAGGAGGCACUGCUUCGUUUACCAACAGGUCCUUUCCAUGAAGAAUACCUUGGACCUUGAAUAGCCUGCAUUAUGUUUUAGUCCAGUUACGCUUGCAUAAUGAUGAGCCAAUUAAACCUGAUGUUGUGGUUUGUUAGAGGUCGGGCCUUUGAUGGUGGCAGCCGAUGUACCUACGUUUUUCCAUCGCUGUAACUGCAGUUUGUGGCUUACAUACGCGUCGGUAAUUGGUGGUGGCUUGCUGUUGUAAUGUUAUGAAUUUCAGGUUCUGAAUUAUAUGCAUUGUCGUUUUCAGCCGAUCCAUUGGCCGAGUCGUCACUAGCGUUGGAAAUGGCAACAGACGUCGGUUCUACCGAUGAGCCACUCAAGCGUGAUCCAGAGAGUUGUUGGCGACGACGAUGCCACUACCUGUUAGAUCAGUUACAGGAGGAAUAACGGCUAGGUGAACGGAAUGAUAAGAGCGUGAUUUGUGAUCAAUGUAGCUUGUAGUAUUUUUUUGUCUGACAUCAACAAGACAAAGUCAAAUGCUGGAAGGAAGUCAACUUGAUGCGUCACAAACGAAACUAUCUUCCCAACAAGUCUUUCCAUAAUGUAUUCAUGUCCAGUUAAUUGUUUCAUAAGAAUAACCAACUAUAGUAUUUAAAGUGUGUGUGCGCGCGUAGUUGGUGUUGGAGAUUGUUCGUAGCAUCGCUCAGCCUUGAUGUACUUCCGCUGCCUUUCCCGUUUCGUCACAACUUCUAUUCUUUUUGUCUCAUUGGGUUUGUAGAAUAUGACUAGAUACGAAUUAUUAUGUAUUGUUGGAUUUGGUUAUAUAAAGUGGGCCUGGUUUGAUAA